rnacentral:rRNA from 1 species
ACGGUAAAGUUAACGGAUCGUUUUAUCUUUGGCAACAUUGAUAUAAACUAAAAGUUAUUUAAAUCUCAUUGUUUAGAGGAAGGAGAAGUCGUAACAAGGUAUCCGUAGGUGAACCUGCGGAUGGAUCAUUUU